GGCUGGGCGAUAUAUCACAUGUGAUUGUCACGUGCAUUUCGUCAGUAAAGCCGGUUCCCUGAUUACCGCUAAAUUGCCAUCACCUGCUUUCAAAUGGAGCGGCAUUUAAUAGACAGAGCCGUAGUUCACUGACAAGCUACGCAAUACCGCGUUCAUUAUCGCAGAUGAAUCGCCUUUGAUAAUGAACGUGAUAUUGCGUAGCUUGUCAGUGAACUACGGCUCCGUCUAUUAAAUGCCGCUCCAUUUGAAAGCAGGUGAUGGCAAUUUAGCGGUAAUCAGGGAACCGGCUUUACUGACGAAAUGCGCGUGACAAUCGCAUGUGAUAUAUCGACCAGCCCUAGUUCUCUGGUAUUUUUAAUAUACUGUUUUGCAUCAAAACCAGUAUGCUUUAAGCCUUCAGCACUUUCAGGUCCCCUUACGAUCAUUCUGUUCUCCAUCUUAUGACAUUUAACCAUGGCAACAAUUCAAGAACUAGAACCUUUAUGAAGAAUGGAAGGAUACUUCAUUUCAGAAGAUGCUUUGCACCAAAAGAUCUGUGAAACACAAAAAACAAUUUGCUGCCAUCGCACCAGAUACUGUACUUGUGGGAGUCAAAUAAAACCUUCAAAUUUGUCUCUUAAUAUCAAUCCACAACCUCAGCAUUCAGUGGAAAUGUACUGCAUACAACUUGAGUCACUGUUGUCUUUUACAGAAUUGGAUGAGGACUUCUUUAAAUGAGGCUUGAGAGAGGUCAUAACAUGGCAAUGCUCUACGAGCCUUGCAUCUCCGGCCAGACCUUGUGAGACAGGACCAUGCUCAACUUGGCCGUAACAAUGGGCCUGUGUGACCGUUUGAAUGUGCUAUUCUCUGAGUGGUGUGGUUCAUUUGGAUCAGACAAUGGCUUCACUUUGCAUCAUUUAUUUCCAGAGGCCCUGCAUGUCACCAUGCCACUCCUGUUUACUGCGUUCUGGACCAACUGUGCUGCAUCUACACACCUUUAGCAGUUUAGAAUCCAAGGACUUUGGGGAGCAGCCUCUUGCUUUCUGCCCAAUGACAAGUGAUGACCUAUUUUCCAGUCUCCAAACAGCACUGCUCUCAGCAGAAAAGAGGAAAGUCACUGCUAACACUGUGUCCAGAAUGAUGCAAUGGACUGCAUCGAUAACACAAUGAAUUCUGUUUUUUCCUAUGCAGUUUAGAGGUUUUGUUUUAACCAGCCACAUUGAGCUGCAGGACAUUUUGUUUAUACCUAGGCUCAUACUGUAUUUCUGCAGCGUCUCACUGCGUAGCCCCGCCCACAGUGGAAUCUCAUUGGUCCACAUAACAUAAAAUCCUGCUCCACAUAACUGUAUGUCAAACAUUAAAUAUGUCCUGACUCCUGACUGACUAUGAUUGCAUCACAUGAGAUUUUACUUUCAGUGUGGCAGACUGUGAAUGUUUAAGACAUGGUGUUGUACAAUCGUGUUGUAUUUGUUAGACUAACAUCGUAAUGAGGUCAUUAUGAAAUUAAAUAAAAUUGAAAUGGUCAUCA
ensembl:lncRNA